rnacentral:misc_RNA from 1 species
UACGUAGGGUGCGAGCGUUGUCCGGAAUUAUUGGGCAUAAAGAGCUCGUAGGCGGUCUGUCGCGUCGGAUGUGAAAGCCCGGGGCUUAACCCCGGGGCGUCAUUGGAUACGGGCAGACUUGAGUGUGGUAGGGGAGAUCGGAAUUCCUGGUGUAGCGGUGAAAUGCGCAGAUAUCAGGAGGAACACCGGUGGCGAAGGCGGAUCUCUGGGCCAUUACUGACGCUGAGGAGCGAAAGCGUGGGGAGCGAACAGG